UACGAAGGGAGCUAGCGUUGUUCGGAAUCACUGGGCGUAAAGCGCACGUAGGCGGAUGUGUCAGUCAGGGGUGAAAUCCCGGAGCUCAACUUCGGAACUGCCUUUGAUACAGCACGUCUUGAGUCCGGAAGAGGUGGGUGGAAUUCCUAGUGUAGAGGUGAAAUUCGUAGAUAUUGGGAAGAACACCGGUGGCGAAGGCGGCCAACUGGACCACAACUGACGCUGAGGCGCGAAAGCGUGGGGAGCAAACAGG
rnacentral:rRNA from 1 species